CACAGUGCCCACUUCUCUCCCUGCGUGGCUCCUUGGCCUUGGAGUGGAAGCUCUGUUUUCUCAUCUGUAAAAAACGACAGCCCAUUCCUUCUCUCGCCACGUUGGAUCGCAGAACUGAAAAGACCCGAAGAGGAGCGAGGCCCGGGCAGGUCGGGGUAAAGUUGGACGGCAAAGCAUGUCAGAAAGAACACAGCUCAAAGGGUGUCUCCUGUCUCUCCCUUCAGGCUUGCUCACGUUUCUGUGACAACAGGCACUGGUCCAUGAUCCUGGCAGCCUGCCAACGUUUGGAAAGCCUCCUGGAAGGUGUUUCCGAGCACAGCUGGAAUACGGACGGUCACCAGCAACUGGCUGGAGGGGAUGCUGCGCUUCUACCCUGGCAGCAUUAGGGAAUCUGCUGAGUGACACGGAGCGACGGUGUCACCUUUUAUGGAGUACCUACAGGCCCUCUGUCACCUGCCACCCCCUGUUGACUGGACAGGAGUGACAACACCGCCACGAUCAUCGUCACCACCAUCUACUCACUCAGGACGCUGCGGCUGGGACCCGCAGUCAGCUGCAGGGCCAGUGACGUUCUUCUCCACCGGGGCCUUCUUAGAAGGUGUGGUCCCAGAG